UGAGGGUGGAAGAGAGCGCUGUUCAUUCACUCACUCCCACCUACAACUCCUGCCAGCACCGAGACUUGAACCAGAUACCUUCUUGUAAGUAGUCCAAGUCUCUAACAAUUAGGCCACAAACUUGUGCGAACUUCUAUGUCAAAAUCAAAUUCUCCAGUCAAAAACCCUUACAUGAUCUAUCAAUAUCAAACUUUGGCCUCAGAUGACAAAACCUACAGUACAAAUACACACACUACAAUAGUUUAGCUUCCUUAAAUAUAAUAAGUUAUCUUUACUUAGUUGUUAUACUUACUAGGUUUUAUUAAGUUACAAAAUUUGCUAAUUUUAAGGCAAAUAAAACAACAUGCUGCAAUGAGUAAUUCUUUCUUAAAAUAUUCAAGUAGCUACAACAAAACCGAUUACAUUAAUUCACCAGUGAGAGGCAGCAGUGCGCUAAUGUGCAACAGGAACAAAACAACAGAAGAAGAAAUAAGGACGGUGAGCAUGCGCAAGUUUUGAAGCUGCGUCGAAUUUGCUGAAACUAUAAGAAGUAGAAAGACUGUUUACAUUUCACCUCUGGACAAAGAAUGAUUGAUUACUUCUACACAAUAAUAAUAAGGAAAAAAGCUUGUGUCAGCUGUCUUCUCUGAGCAGCGGUCUUGUGAUCACCGGUCUCAGUAUAAUAAAGAUUUGACAGAACUACACACCCAUCUGAUGCCUACCUGUUUUAAUUCAUGAUCCCCCCGGAUACUUCUACAACUAACCCGCCUUGGUGUCUGAUGCUGAUGCAGUCUGGGCACUAGUAUCUGUUGGCUUGCUGACUAUCACUGACGAUGAAGUACUUCUCCAAAUCUUGACCCAGUGUCUUCUGCCAUCAUUGUUCAGGGUAGUACUGCAAAGAAUAGUCUCCAGGGUCUGCCUCCAACAUUUGCUUCCCGACCACCAAGUGCUACGUUUGCAUCACUACAUGUGGGUUACCCUGAUACUGUGAAGAGCACCUACAAUAUGAUGCUUGACUUGGGACAGAAAAAAAAACAUUGGCAACUUGUGUGGCCAACUCAUUGCCGUAUUUAAAAUCAUUGUACUGCUACCUCCAUUGUUUAACAUAACUAAAAGCAGAUUGUUUUUGCUUUGUUUCAAAAUUUUUGUAAUACGAGUUAAAACUACAUUGAAAAAAAUAUAUCAUCUUUAACUUUGAACUGUCACUACAUUUGAUUUAGGGUAAUGUGUGUGAAGAAUAGAACAUUAAAGGCAAUUGGUCAACUAGAUUUCUGUUCAAGUAAAUACAACUUAGAAAUUCCAAGUUGCAGGAAAUGUUUCUUGAUUUAGCUAAAUUUAAAUUAGUUGUUUGAAAUACGUACAUAGUAUAAUGUACUUAAUUUAGUUGUUGAAAAUAGUAAUUCUGAGUUACACGUUUACAACACUUAUAAAUAAACCUUUGUUAGUACAAAUUACUAUUCUUAUUUCACUUGUUUUUUUCAAGGCAAUCGGUUUGCAUGCUUUUUUUUAAAUAAGGUUUACUCAUUAUAAUUUACAGUGCAGACAACCUCCCUGCUCAGUGCACACUAGUGAGAUAAAAUCAAAACACUGUAAUUGUAAUAAAGUACUGUUACUAUACUGUA